UGAUAUAUGGUAUUUAUCUUUGUCUGGCUUACUUCACUUAGUAUGAUAAUCUUUAGGUCUAUCCAUGUAGCUGCAGAUGGCAUUAUUUCAUUCUUUUUUACGCCUGUGUGCUCUUCACGUUUUAAAAUCUCCUGUUUCUCUCUGAAAAGCAGGGCCCAUAUUUGCCUCUCAUGCCUGACAAAUCUCAGGGUGAUGCUCAGCAUGCCCAGCUAUCCCCUUACACUGGUUCCCUUGUCCUCGUCUGCCUGUUUCCAGCAGGAGCCCUGGCAGAGCUGGAGGAGUAGACAGCUAGGGGAGUGUGAACCAGGGUGGACAGCCCCAGAGCUUUGGGACAGACGUUGGCGCACCAAUCAUCUCCAGACUCUUCAUGCCUGGGGGGCUGUGGUCUCCCGUGAGGGCAGUAAGAGAACAUCUCCACGUUCAGUAUAAGGAUCUCUGCUAAUCACUCCACUCCGGGAUGCUCG